UUUGAGUAUAGUUGAGGUAGCUGGAAUGAGUAGUGUAGCGGUGAAAUGCAUAGAUAUUACUCAGAACACCGAUUGCGAAGGCAGGUUACCAAGUUAUAACUGACGCUGAGGGACGAAAGCGUGGGGAGCGAACAGGAUUAGAUACCCUGGUAGUCCACGCCGUAAACGAUGCUAACUCGUUUUUGGGCUAUAUGGUUCAGAGACUAAGCGAAAGUGAUAAGUUAGCCACCUGGGGAGUACGACCGCAAGGUUGAAACUCAAAGGAAUUGACGGGGGCCCGCACAAGCGGUGGAUCAUGUGGUUUAAUUCGAUGAUACGCGAGGAACCUUACCAAGGCUUAAAUGGGAAUUGAUAGCUGUAGAAAUACGGUUUUCUUCGGACAAUUUUCAAGGUGCUGCAUGGUUGUCGUCAGCUCGUGCCGUGAGGUGUUAGGUUAAGUCCUGCAACGAGCGCAACCCCUGUCACUAGUUGCCAUCAUUAAGUUGGGGACUCUAGUGAGACCGCCUACGCAAGUAGAGAGGAAGGUGGGGAUGACGUCAAAUCAUCACGGCCCUUACGCCUUGGGCUACACACGUGAUACAAUGGCCGGUACAGA
rnacentral:rRNA from 1 species